UGGGGGAUUUUGCACAAUGGGCGCAAGCCUGAUGCAGCGACGCCGCGUGAGGGAUGAAGGCCUUCGGGUUGUAAACCUCUUUCGAUGGGUUGAAAGGCCAUGCUUUGGGUGUGGUUGAUUUGAACUGGUAAAGAAGUACCGGCUAACUACGUGCCAGCAGCCGCGGUAAUACGUAGGGUACUAGCGUUGUCCGGAUUUAUUGGGCGUAAAGGGCUUGUAGGUGGUUUGUCGCGUCUGUCGUGAAAUCCUGUGGCUUAACCAUGGGCUUGCGGUGGGUACGGGCAGGCUUGAGUGCGGUAGGGGAGACUGGAAUUCCUGGUGUAGCGGUGGAAUGCGCAGAUAUCAGGAGGAACACCGGUGGCGAAGGCGGGUCUCUGGGCCGUUACUGACACUGAGGAGCGAAAGCGUGGGGAGCGAACAGG
rnacentral:rRNA from 1 species